rnacentral:rRNA from 1 species
GACAGAGGAUGCAAGCGUUAUCCGGAAUCACUGGGCGUAAAGCGCACGUAGGCGGCUUCUUAAGUCAGGGGUGAAAUCCUGGAGCUCAACUCCAGAACUGCCUUUGAUACUGAGGAGCUUGAGUCCGGGAGAGGUGAGUGGAACUGCGAGUGUAGAGGUGAAAUUCGUAGAUAUUCGCAAGAACACCAGUGGCGAAGGCGGCUCACUGGCCCGGUACUGACGCUGAGGUGCGAAAGCGUGGGGAGCAAACAGG